GAAGUAGUUCAGUGGUAGAAUACAACCUUGCCAAGGUUGGGGUCGCGGGUUCGAAUCCCGUCUUC
rnacentral:tRNA from 1 species